AAAAAAAGCAGACAGAGUUGACUAUAAAUUUAAUAGGAAGAAAAGGUUGGUGUGCGAAGAUGUUUUUGAUAAGUGAUGUUCAAAGUUUGUCACACGGAGACGAGAUAAACAAGGAUAAGAUAAGAAUGAUAAUGAGAUGGGAAGAGAUGAAUACAGACUUUGAGAUAUGAGAAAGAGAUGAAAAAAUAGAGAUUAACAAUAGGGUUCAGGAUUGCCAUUAACACCUACGUAAGUUCUUAAUUAAAUGAGUAAUGGUGAGGAAAGCCAAUUAGUCAUAAAAUGGUCCUCUAUAUGUCAAGGUGAGGGAGAUAAAACGUCUCUCAAGGUCUUGUCUCAGGUAUUGUUGUGGGGACUUCUAAUUAUGUACUCAGGUAAACGUAAAGAGUGAAGUAAAGGAUGAGUGAAGCCAAUUAGCCAUAAAUGGUCUUCUAUAUGUCAAGGUGAGGGAGAUAAACACGUCUCUCAAGGUCUCUCGUCAGGUAUUAUUGUGGGGGCCAUUUAUUAUGUACUCAGGUAGACAAUAUCAUGAGCAGGUGAAGUUAAUCAACACCGAGAAACACUAGUAAUUUUUCCAUGAUGACUUGAGUGUUUUAUCAGUAUUCCGUAUGUCCGUAAGUAUCAAAUAGUAUCAAAGUCUGAAAAGGGAAAAUAAUAUGUAACUGAAAGGGUUUUGUCGUACUUUGCACUUUAGAUGAAGGGGUUUGUCCUUAUUUUUUUUUUUGUCCAAGGUGAGUUUUAUCUGGACCCCGAGGGGAAACCUUUGUCUCGCUGCUCUACCCUUGACCCCGACCACAGACACCGACGUCGCUGGCUGAUCUAAUGCCCACCUUGCCGUGACGCCUAUGCGAAAUUAAAUAUAUGACGGUGGUGAUGACUAAGACAAUAAUGGCGAGAAACAGUGAUAAAAAAAUAAUAAUAAUCGUGAAAACGCCCCAAACACCAACAUCUUCAAACAGUGUAGGGCAGACUUUCCGGGGUCACUCGGCACGCAGUCUUAUAGCACGUGGCGGUGUCGGGACGAAGGUGGCGCCGACGGUGCUGCCACGACACCCGGCGAUCCGUGGCCCGGGGCGGAGGGCACGACCGUCACGCGUCUGCACCUCCACUGCCCUCCUUAGCGAGCGAGCGAGACAGACACCCAUGUUUGAUAAAGCUUUGGUAGAGGUUGUGUUAGUGUUUCCAUGGGUAGUUUUAUGAGCCAAGUGACAGUUUGAUAAGGCUUUCGUAGAGGUUGUGUUAGUGUUUCCAUGGGUAGUUUUAUGAGCCUAGUGACAGUUUGAUAAGGCUUUCGUAGAGGUUGUGUUAGUAUUUCCACAGGUAGUUUUAUGAGCCAAGUGACAGUUUGAUAAGGCUUUCGUAGAGGUUGUGUUAGUAUUUCCACAGGUAGUUUUAUGAGCCAAGUGACAGUUUGAUAAGGCUUUCGUAGAGGUUGUGUUAGUAUUUCCAUAGGUAGUUUUAUGAGCCAAGUGACAGUUUGAUAAGGCUUUCGUAGAGGUUGUGGGUAUAUCCAUUGGUAGUUUUAUGAGUCUAGUGACAGUUUGAUAAGGCUUUCGUAGAGGUUGUGGGUAUAUCCAUUGGUAGUUUUAUGAGCCUAGUGACAGUUUGAUAAGGCUUUCGUAGAGGUUGUGGCUAUAUCCAUUGGUAGUUUUAGGAGCCUAGGGAUAGUUUGACAAGCCCUUUGCACCGUGAAUGUGAAAAACUCUCAUGAGAACCCGACCCAUCUCCUUCGUGGCCUUUGGAAAUAGUAGUUGUCAGAGCCGAAAGCGUCUGAGAAUACGGACAGCCGAGAAUACAACUAGGGCGAAGAACAGUUUAGAAGCAGCCAUUGGUUUUAGAGGCUUACACACCCACAUUUGAUAACGCUUUUGUAGAGAUUGUGUUGAUAGUGCCAUGGAUAGUUUUUUGAGCCUAGUGAUACUUUGACAAGGCUUCUGCACCGUGGACGUGAAGAAAACUAAUGAGAACCCGAUUCCUCCCACUUGUGGCCUUUGGAAAUACUGGACCCGUAUUCUCAAACCUUUCGGCGCCCAAUUACACAUAUAUGACAAGGCUUUCGCAGGCUUUUCGGGCAUUUUCAGGGGUAGUUUAACCCGGUAGCUGCGGGGAUCAUGUUUCUUAAAGGCCCCUCUAAGUGAGAAAAAGGAGAAAAAAUCAUCACUCACACAAACCAUUUCAUAAUAUAUAUCAACGCAUUUGUGAUCAGUUUAUGCAUCAUCUAUUUUUGCGGGGUUUAUACCAUGGCAAAAAUUUGGCACGGUAAAGCCACAAAUUUGGCCCAUCGCUGCUACCGGGUUAAUGGCCCUGGUGGUUGUUUAAUUCUUCUUCUGUACCAUGAAUGUGAAAAAAAAACAUGAAAGCCAGAUUAAUUUCCAUUUUGACCUUUGAAAAUAGUUGAUGUGAGAGCCGAAAGCGUCUGAAAAUGCUGGCUACCUAGUGUGUUGUGUUGUGUAAUGGAUCCUCCUGUAAUCCCCUUUAUGCUAUGUGUUAACCUAGUGACGGUGCGCCUGUGUAGAGAGAGAGAUAAAUAUUCGUGUCUCCUGCACUCACACGCUUAUUCGGUGAUACUACGAGGACUCACGCGUGUGUUGGUUGGCAAAUAUCAUCAUCCUCAUUAUCCCAACUGUCGUCAUCAUCAUCAUCCUCAUUAUCCCAACUGUCGUCAUCAUCGUCAUCCUCAUCAUAAUCAUCAUCAUGCAUCAUUCACUAUCACGUAUCGUCCCUACCUACACCAUCACCAUCACCACUACCAUCACCAUCAUCACUCAAGAUCACUAUAUUAAAUUCUGUUCCUGCUAUAUCGGCCCCACCAACACCAUCACCACCACUACUACGAGCCUUCAUUAUCACUGCUGUCACUAUCACCACCACUAUCAUGACUCACUAUCACCAUCACCAUCACCACCACUACUACGAGCCUUCAUUAUCACUGCUGUCACUAUCACCACCACUAUCAUGACUCACUAUCACCAUCACCAUCACCACCACUACUACGAGCCUUCAUUAUCACCACUGUCACCUCCACCACCAUUACCAGCAUCACUAUCAGGACUCACUAUCAUUAUAUUUAUCCCUACCAUACCGUCCCCAUCACCAUCAUCACCACCACCACCACCACUAAUACCAUCACGAAACUUCAUCAUCACCACUGUCACCCCCACCACCACCACCAUCACACAGCCAAUCACACGCCCAUCCGUCACCUUCAGUAAAAGCUCCUGAGAACAUUACCUGAGUGAAGUCAAGCUUAGCCUCCACACCUGAUGCUUUCCCACACUCAUUCCUUUUCCAUUCUCUCCAUCCUUUCUUUCCCUCUUUCUUCCUCUUCUUCUUCUUUUGACCUGUAUUGCUUUGUGUCGCUUCGUAGGUCCUCCUCUUGGUCCUCUCUUCUGCUUAUUCACACAUUUUGCUUUCCAGUGCGAUUAUAUAUAUCUUCCUUUCCCUCAUACUUCCUUCUCUUCCCUUGCACUCCAUCCUCUCCCUCCUUUCCCUUCACAUUCUCUUCUUCUCCUCCAACUCCUUCCCCUCCCACUCCUUCCAUUCCCUUAUACUCUCUUCCACUCUCUCCUUUCCUUUGCACUAUUUCCUUUUCCUCCUUCCUUUAUCCUUCCUUUCCCUCAUGCUUCAUCCUCUCCCUCCUUUCCCAUCCCAUUUCUUUCUUUCCUUCUUACUUCUUCCUUUUCCUCGUACUCUUUCCUUUCCCUCCCAAUCCCUCCUUUCCCCUUCCUUUCUUUCCUCCACACCCUUCCUUUCCCUUUCACUCCCUCCUUCCCUCUCCUUCACACUCCCUUUCCUUCCACUUUCCCUCCUCCCUCCUUCCUAUUCACGCACUCAACCUCAAAUCCUUUCUUCCACACUCCUUCUCCUCCUCCUCCUCCUCCUCUUUCCUUCCCUCUCCCUACUUCUCUCCCUCCUGUAUUCACCCUUCACUACACACACACACACACACACACACACACACACACACAUGGGAAUGGUGAUAGUGGUGAAUAUGAUGAUGAUGAUGAUGAUGAUGGUG